GAAAGAAAAGAAGGGAUUGGGAAAGAAGAGACGAGGGAAUGAACGGAAUGGUCGAAACCGCAGAUUUUCGUCGGAUCAAACCUGUCGAUCAAAACAAAGAAAUCAGAAGCUGUAAAUUCGAUAUCGAUUUGGGUCUCCUCAACAAUAUCCACCCCGAAUUCGAUUCCCUCACAUGGGGCAAUCAAGUGCGCGGGCGCAUCAAAUCUCGUUUUAGUAAAUCCUAUUCCAUGGGCUGAUUUGCUCGGUUGAUUUCGAUACGACCCAGUGUUCAGACUUGAGAGACAAGUGUUGUAACCGAACAAGGAAUGGAUGGAGAUCAGAAUAAUAGUAGAUCGAAGUUUUUCCAACACAACGCAAGAAAGUGAAGUGAGUUUCUUUACAAGUUUAGAAGUAUAUGCGAUUUCCUUUAAUUAAGGAUGAGAAGCUGAACAUCCAAGCGAAGCCCCUUAACUUCCUGUGCUGGUUCUCUUAUUUUUUCUUCCUUCGUCGUCUCAAUCUCAAAAUAUGGUCCUGAAGACCCUUCCCCACUCUCCAAGCGAAUUCGUAAAGACGAUGGUUGUCAAAGUUUAAAACCCACAUGCAAAGAAUGGAGUGAUAUGCAAGAAAAUGAUCUGCAAUUCAAUUCCGCUGGCUCAACCUAGCGUUGGCUAGCCUCAACUACUUUGUGUUAACUGAACAAAUCUUCCUCUGCUAAGUUCUUCUUGCAGGGAUUUGGCUGAGCACAGUCGUUGGACUUAAUGCCAUAAUGCUUACAGCAUCAACUUUCCACGUAGGUGGUUCAUAUACUACGGUGAAGACUUGCUGAUUUAACAACCUGCAUAAUCCUUUUGAAUUCACCUUAAUCUAAGAGAGUGCUGCGGGGUUCACUAUGUUUUGAAUGAUGCGAGAGUACAAGUUACACUGGCUGCUGCGCAAGUACUUAAAACGUAAUUGUCGCCACCCGGGAUCUCAACGUCUGAGGUAGCUGAGGAAUGGUUUCUCCGAAACAGGUAUGGACUUCACGCACCAACCAAUUGGCCACGAAAAGGAUGCAAUGGCAAUGCAAACUACCCACUGCCACCAAUUCAAACUCACUGUGUCUGCAAAUUUCUUCAGGAACUCCACCAUCACAAUCUGAAGAACUACAGUCACUGCAAUGAUCCCAAGAAACAACCGGUUCUUAUGGAGACCCGUGAACACGUUCUUCUUCUCCAACUUCCGCGAAUUGAAUUCAUUGAAAACUUGACAGAACACAAAGGUGUUGAAGAUUAUAGUAUUGUUUACUGCCCUGCUUACAUUAAAGAUCGAUCUACCGCUGAACUGGAAUGUCAAGAGGAUGGCUAUCUGGUAUAGAGCUUGUGCCAAAAGGUUUCUCCACAUUACGUUUGUUAUGAGGGGUUCAGACCGGCCCACUGGCGGUUUGUCCAUCAGCUCGUCUGUUGGUCGCUCUGUGGCCAAAGCCAAAGCACCCAAUGAGUCCAUAAUGAGGUUGACCCACAACAAUUGCACCGUUGUUAGGGGGACUUCUCCGGCAGAAACUGCUGCAACAAAGUUGAUCACCAGAGCUGCAACAUUUACAGUAAGUUGAAACUGAAUAAACUUUUGGAUAUUAUUGUAUACGCAUCGCCCCCAUCUCAGAACCGUGGCCACAGAGGCAAAAUCAUCAUCCAAUAUGACGAUAUCUGAGCUCUCUUUUGCCACCUCAGUGCCUUGGAUUCCCAUGGAAAGUCCUACGUCGGCUUCUUUCAAAGCUGGUGCAUCGUUUGUGCCAUCUCCAGUGACUGCAACCACGUGUCCCUUUUGUUUCAAGCAUUGUACCAUCAAAAGCUUGUCAAAAGGGGAGGAUCUCGCCAUUACACGGAUUCGAUCCACCUUUCGCAUUCUUUCUUCGUGUGUGUAGGUCCGGAACUCUACUCCUUCCACCACUUCUCCGUCCCUAACUUGUUUAUCAUUAUUGUCAAGAAUUCCGCAUUCUGUGGCUAUUGCCUUUGCAGUAAAUACAUUGUCUCCUGUUAUCAUUUUGAUAUCCACUCCAGCUGCUCUGCAAAUUUUAAUGGCUUUCUUUGCACCAGGCCUGCAUGGAUCCUUCAGCCCAACUAUACCUAGCAAGGUCAUUCCAUCUUCUUCUAGCUUCUGGUGUGUUUUUUUCCCAUCGUUGAUAUAUUUGAUUUCUUGCUCUGAAACUUGCUUAUGGGCAAAAGCAAUGCAACGCAGGCUACUAGCUGCCAUUCCUUGGAUUAUAUUCUCGAAUUGUUUCCUUCCUUCUUCAUCUAUUGGCGUAACCUUUCCAGAGCCUUCAUAAUAAUGCGAACACAUACCUAGUACCAUUUCAGCAGCACCUUUCCAGUGUAUAUGAAUAGUGUCAUCAUCCUUCUUCUUCACUGAAACCCCACUUCGUUUCUUUUCCGAAUUGAAGGUUUCAACAUGAAUAAUGGUAGAACUUUGCUUUAAAUUUUCCACGUCCAUACCCAGUUCGAAGAUCGCCCAAGAUAGAAUUGCUUUUUCAGUUGGACUACCUGAAAACUCAGGUAUGGAGCCCAAAAGUGGUUUGCAAACAGUACCAGUGGUGUUCAAACCAACCCCUUGAUGGAAUAGUUCAAGGACAUUUUUGGCAAUCACUUCGGAAUGAUGUUCUUCAAUGCUUUCUUGACCAAGCCAAAACUUGGUGACUUUCAUCAUAUUCAUCGUUAAUGUUCCCGUUUUAUCGGUACAGAUAACGGUGGCAGACCCCAUGGUCUCACAAGCAGGAAGCUUCCGGACCAUUGCCUGAUCUGCCAUCAUUCUCUUCAUGGAAUAAGCAAGUGUGAGUGUGACCGCCAAUGGUAGACCUUCUGGAAUCGCGACGACCACAAUAGUGACUGCAGCAGCAACAAUAUGCACAACGGAAUUAAACACAUCGUUUAUAUCCGUUCUGCUGCCAUUGAACUCCUGGUUUCCGUUCUCAUCGUUUGUGUUUCCGGUGAAAUACCGAAUCAACAGAACCAGAAGAACCAGUAGAGCAACGGAAAGACCUGCCUUCCCAAUGGAAGAGGUCAGUUUGUCGAGCCGAGCUUGCAAUGGCGUCCGUUCGCUGGAAUCGCGUGCUAUUGAGCUCAUCAUGUUGCCCCAAGAGGUGUUCAUCCCCACAGAAGUCACCAGCAUCGUUGCAUAACCAUCGGCAACUUUCGAACCAGAAAGCAGAAAGGGGUUCUGCUCGCUGUCGACUUCCACGUAGUCACUCUCUCCCGUCAUGCUUGACUCGUCCACUUGCAACGAAUGUCCUGAUAGGAAAAUCCCAUCAGCUGGGAUUUGAUCCCCUAUCGUUAGGAACACGACGUCUCCUACCACAAUUUCGAAGAUGGAUAUCUUCUGCCGCCUUUCGUCUCUCAUGACAUCGAUUUUAAUGUCAUUGCUUAUUUUCGACAGCUUAUCAAACUGUCUUUCCUGUCUGAGAUUGCUAAGUGAAGAAACCGCAACAACAACGAAAACGGCUACGAAUAUGCUACCACCCUCGUACCAACCUUCUUUGCCUCCGUGCUCUUUGAUGCCGAAGCCAAGAGAGAGCGCAGCGCAGCCCAGAAGGAUGAUAAUGGUGGUGUCUUUGAACGCCUCCACCACGAAAUGAAGUAGCCCUUUCGGGGGUGGCUUGUUGUAAGUGUUUGUACCGAACCUGUUGGAACAUUGAAAGAUUUUAAUAAAAAUAAAUUAAAACACUUAUUAUCUAUCAUUACCUUUCCGUUACAAUAUUAGUGCAUAAAUGUUGUCGGUUGCAUAAACAUAAAAGUGAUAUUUAUUCCUAUCAUUAAAUAUAUCAAUAAAUGGGUCUUAAUCCAAUAACCUCUAUAUAUAUGGGUUGGGUUUUGACAAGUGUGAAAAGUAGUGGAAAUGAAGAAAAUAUUUGGAGAGUAUACACAGAUAAUGAAAGAGGAUUUUUAGAAUAUUUUUAUACUAUUUUCUAUAGAGUUGGGCAACUCAGUUCGUGACUCGUUCAAAUCUCUUGGUGGUCGUGAACAUCGGAUGAGGAAUGCUUGUGAGCACUUGGGUUUAAUCUUGGGACUAGUACACUCCGGUGGAACCUUCACGAGGGGAGGAAUAUUAUCCUUAAGACAGUUACUGCACGACUCUCAAUCUCACAGUCAACAUUUUUCCUACUUUCACUAUUUUCGUACUCUCAUGUUUUUCUUGAUUGUGUUUCUAUGUUCACGUGGUCCAAUGAUUAUUGUUAUAAAAUGAUAUUUGUGAACCUAAGUUCUAACAGAACCUGGUCUUUCGCAGGGUGAAAUCGUCGUCAUUGCCGGAGAUUCCGUUUUCAGGAUCAGUUUGAAGAGCUUUGGUUAAGCCCUUGAUGCCUCCAAACUUGCUGAGCUCAUUCAAGUCUUUUUCCUUCACCAUUUCGGUGAGUUUCGAUUGGUCGAUGUCGGGGAAAAACGAAUCAUCCGCUUCAUCUGCGUCGUCUAUCUCCAGCAAGUGACUUUUCGAAGUGGUUUGAUCAAAACCAUGAUUGGGUAUGAUCUGCUCGAUUUCAACAAUGGUAUGAGGAGAUGGGUGACUGCGGCGGUCUGGCGAUUUGGGUACAAUCUCCGCAAUGAGGGAGAGAAUGGCGCGGGAAGAGUAUAUCACCGUGUAGGCGAGGCGCCAUCUCUUUUGGGCUAUACUGGAUUUGCUCCUCUUAUCGGGUACGAUAUCUCGGGCGAGAUAAAGCGUGAAGUGGAUAGCCGUGCAAGCGAUACGCCAACGCUUCUGGGCUUUGGUGAAGGUGGUGGUGGCAAUGGUGUCAAGCAAAAUGAAAGACAUUGUUUGGUUUCUUCCUGAGAUAUUUUGCUGAGGGAUUAAAAGCUUUGACCAGAUUUUGAUCUUUGGGCAGUAGGAAAGAACUUC